rnacentral:rRNA from 1 species
GCCGUAGGGCGCGAGCGUUGUCCGGAAUUAUUGGGCGUAAAGAGCUCGUAGGCGGCUUGUUGCGUCGACCGUGAAAACCCGGGGCUCAACUUCGGGCUUGCGGUCGAUACGGGCGGGCUAGAGUUCGGUAGGGGAGACUGGAAUUCCUGGUGUAGCGGUGAAAUGCGCAGAUAUCAGGAGGAACACCGGUGGCGAAGGCGGGUCUCUGGGCCGAUACUGACGCUGAGGAGCGAAAGCGUGGGGAGCGAACAGG